AUGGCUUCUUAUGUCUAUCAAACUCGUUUUUUCUGGAUUUUGUGUUUUGCUAUAGUUUUGCUUUCGGGUUUGGCAACUUGUUUGGGUCCUGUGGGUCCUCCAGGACUAAUGUGCUCUGGGAAAUGCAUUGAUGGACCAACAUGCAAUAAAUCUUGCAUUGACAGAGGCUUUCAGAAUGGUGGUGCAUGUGUAGGCUUUACUUUUCAAGCUAUGAGUUGUUGUUGUAAAAAAUAA